GAUGAACGCUAGCGAUAGGCUUAACACAUGCAAGUCGAGGGGCAGCACAAGGUAGCUUGCUAUCUGGGUGGCGACCGGCGCACGGGUGCGUAACGCGUAUGCAACUUGCCCUAUACAGGAGGAUAACCCGUCGAAAGACGGACUAAUACUGCGUAUGCUCACAACUUGGCAUCAAGUGGUGAGGAAAGAAAUUCGGUAUAGGAUAGGCAUGCGUCCCAUUAGCUUGUUGGUGAGGUAACGGCUCACCAAGGCAACGAUGGGCAGGGGAACUGAGAGGUUUAUCCCCCACACUGGUACUGAGACACGGACCAGACUCCUACGGGAGGCAGCAGUGAGGAAUAGUGGUCAAUGGGCGCGAGCCUGAACCAGCCAAGUCGCGUGAAGGAUGACUGUCUUAUGGAUUGUAAACUUCUUUUAUACGGGAAUAACAAGAGUCACGGGUGACUCCCUGCAUGUACCGUAUGAAUAAGCAUCGGCUAACUCCGUG
rnacentral:rRNA from 1 species